UACGUAGGGUGCAAGCGUUGUCCGGAAUUAUUGGGCGUAAAGAGCUCGUAGGCGGUUUGUCGCGUCUGCCGUGAAAGUCCGGGGCUCAACUCCGGAUCUGCGGUGGGUACGGGCAGACUAGAGUGAUGUAGGGGAGACUGAAAUUCCUGGUGUAGCGGUGAAAUGCGCAGAUAUCAGGAGGAACACCGAUGGCGAAGGCAGGUCUCUGGGCAUUAACUGACGCUGAGGAGCGAAAGCAUGGGGAGCGAACAGG
rnacentral:rRNA from 1 species